GAUGAACGCUGGCGGCGUGCCUAAUACAUGCAAGUCGAGCGAACUUUUGGGAGCUUUCUCCCUAUAGUUAGCGCCGGGGGGGGGAGUAAAACGUGGGUAACCUGCCUGUAAGACUGUGAUAACAUCGGGAAACCGGGGCUAAUACCGCAUAAAAUAUAAGACCACAUGGGCUUCAAUUAAAAAGUGCGUUUUUGCUACCACUUACAGAUGGACCCGCGGCGCAUUAGCUAGUUGGUGAGGUAACGGCUCACCAAGGCGACGAUGCGUAGCCGACCUGAGAGGGUGAUCGGCCACCAUGGGACUGAGACACGGCCCAGACUCCCACGGGAGGCAGCAGUAGGGAAUCUUCCGGAAUGGACGAAAGGCUGACGGGGCAACGCCGCGUGAGCGAAGAAGGCCUUCGGGUCGUAAAGCCCUGUUGUUAGGGAAGAACAAGUAUCGUUCGAAUAGGGCGGUACCUUGACGGUACCUAACCAGAAAGCCACGGCUAACUACGUG
rnacentral:rRNA from 1 species